CCUACGGGUGGCAGCAGUGAGGAAUAUUGGUCAAUGGACGCAAGUCUGAACCAGCCAUGCCGCGUGCAGGAAGACGGCUCUAUGAGUUGUAAACUUCUUUUGUACGAGGAUAAACCCAGACACGCGUGCCUUUCUGAAAGUAUUUUACGAAUAAGGAUCGGCUAACUCCGUGCCAGCAGCCGCGGUAAUACGGAGGAUUCAAGCGUUAUCCGGAUUUAUUGGGUUUAAAGGGUGCGUAGGGGGGCGGUUAAGUCAGAGGUGAAAGUCUGCGGCUCAACUUCGGAAUUGCAUUUGAUACGGGUCGUCUUGAGAUGAGUUGAGGUAGGCGGAAUGUGUGGUGUAGCGGUGAAAUGCUUAGAGAUCACGCAGAACACCGAUUGCGAAGGCAGCUUACCAAGCUACUUCUGACGUUGAGGCACGAAAGCGUGGGUAGCAAACAGGAUUAGAUACCCUGGUAGUC
rnacentral:rRNA from 1 species